GCGGCGUUGCCACCUUCCGGCAGUGGCAACAAGGUAGAGUUUCUGGUGGCAGAUAUUGAAGGGAAUGCUUGGAAUUUUGCCUGCACUACCAAAACCAGGAACACGCUGCUGAAGCCUGUAUUCUCCAAGGGCUGGUAUGCAUUCGCUCGUCAUUGGGGUCUCAGAAGUGGUGCCACCAUCGCUUUUUAUAUGGAGAUUGAUCAAGCUACUGGAGCCCAAUAUAAGAUUAAAGUAAGACAAGUGUGAGGGGCUUGGGUGUUGAGCUAGGUUAUCUGUUUUCAUUUUUGGGCCAAGAGCCAGUGGACUGAGCCUCGUGCUUUUCCUGCCAACUUAAUCAUAGAAAUCUAUUAUCUUUCCAAAAAGUAAGUAAAUAAAUAAAGGUCAUUGUCUAAUCUUGCUUCUUUAAAGUCUUCGUCUUUGCCAAGAAAUACAGAGUCUUCCUCCUCAAUCCUUCGUCUUCUCUCUUAUUUCCAAUCUACUUUCUUCUCAAUCAGUGGCUCAGCGCUAUAGAUCUCUAUUCUUCUAAUGGCCAAGUCAAGCUCCCAAGAUUUUUGGGUAAUCAACUGAAAGGAGAAAGAAAGAGAGGUGAAGAAUUUUUCUCAAGUUAACUAAGGGAUAUGGCUGCUAUAUACGAGGAAAUUGCGACUAUGUAUUUGAGGUUGGCCAUUGAAGGGGUUUCCAAUAGAGUGUGCAUAAGAGUUUCAACAUCAUUGUUGGUGAGGGAGCUUAAUAUCUGUGGAAAGGAAAAGGAUGAGGACGUGGUAUUUGAAUUGUUGAUGAGUUAUGAAGCAAAUAAUUUGAGCUUCCUUGUUUUCGAUAAUGGGCAUGGGUGGUGUAGGCAAGAAAAUUCACAUGAGUUUAACAUACUUGUCUCCAAAGAAGUGUUUGGUCAUUCCAGAUGAUGUUUGGAAUGAGAGCUACAAGAUUAUAGCAUUGGUAUCCUUCAAUGUUUUAGGUUGAGUUAUCAUCAUCUUCCUUCAUAUGAAGUGAUGCCUUGCACACAAUGCUUUGCUUAUUGUGCAAUGUGCAACAAAUUAAUUUGCUAUUGCGCAAUGUUUUCCAAAGACUUCAAGUUAGAUAAGGUUGUGUUAGUUUUGUUAUAGAGCUAUUGUACAUUAUUUUCGAAAGAUAUCGAGUUAGACAAUAAUGUGUUGGUUUUGUUAUGGAUGUUAAAAGGAAAUUUUGAUAUGAAAAGGAUUAUGGAAUAAGGAAAAUGAGUAUAUGCAAUGCUUAGGCCUUGAACAUUACAUAGUUUAUAACUAAAGUACCUUUUGGAACAUUAUAUCAUCAAGUCAAAAUAUGCGAUCCAAAGUGAAAGCUAAUCCAAAAUUGGCAUCAAAGAACUUCGAUCAUUCAUUAAAUUUGUCGAUUAUUAUUGUCAGUUCGUCCAACAAUACUCAAAAGAUUGCCUUUCAUCGAUCUUCUAAAUAGAGGAUUGGAAUAUUCAAGACUAUUAGAAGUCCAAUUCUUACGUUAGCAAACAUGAUGGAGCAUGAUUAGAGUUUGGUUGGACUAUGCCUUUGGAGGAGUUCUAAUUCAAGGUAGCUGCCCAGUCACUUUGAGAAGUCGAAAUCGAAGCGACAUUGAAAGAUGAUACAAAAUAUAUGGCGUAUGACCUAGUAAGUUAUUAGCUCAAUUUGUUAAAACAGUGAUAUGUCUUAAUUUGAACAAUAAGUUAGAGGCUAUAAAAUCAUAAAUGAAGCUCGAGCAAUCAUCAGUCGCAUUCAUUGUUACAACAUCUACUGUGGGGAACAUUCGUAGCAUUUCGACUUCUCUACCACAAAUCACUAUUUGUUGCUUAUAAUGUCCUAUGUGACUUGGUGCCAAAAUUAGAUUGCUUGAGGCUCAUCUGGAUGGGGAGCUUCACAUUUCAUGAUUGCAUAUUGUGGUAAAUAUUUGAGAUAAGAAGCAAGGUGUUGAAGAAUUAGAUUUGGGAGGGUUGAUUUUCAUGAUAAGCAAGAUCUGGAAUGAUUGCUAAUCAAAGGUAAAAGAGGCCAAAGUUCAGGUACACAUACAAGUUUCUUUCUGGAUGAUGGUGACUUGCUACUUCCAUUUUGGUUGCCUUCUUUUCAUCAUUACACUCAAGAAUCUGAGAUGCACAUAUGGGGAGACUCUGAAGCCUCACGUCUUUCAGACAUUUUUAGACAUUGUGUUUCUUCAAACUCUGAUGCCAUGCGCAUCCAACAAAUAGAUUUGAGAUAAGAUUCAGCACGGAGAUGAUGAAUUGUUUGAGAGAUCUGUGGCACUGUUCAAUUUUUCUGCUUUGAAAAGAGAUAAGUCCAGAUAGCUGCAAAUGGAAAGGAUUAUGUGAAGGACGCCUGGGAACUCUUAUAUAGGUGGGAAAUGGAAGCUCAAUUUGAAUUCUCACCGGAAUGCAGUUGGCUCCAUUUCUGUUAUCCUUGUGGCAGCUUCCACCGCUGAAUCACGAUCACCACCACAGCACCACCCUUUCGCUCUGGUUGCUUUGACUGGAAACUUGAUGGAAUUUUAUGUGUCAAAACGGGAUUGUCAGGGCAUCGUCUCCUAACAGAAGAAAUUGUGCUGCAUUUGUCAUGCAGACAAAUCCUCUGGCAGACGUAGACAUGUUUCAAUUAUUGAACUCGUGAGAACGAAAAUGGCCUCCUCCCAUAAUGAAGUGGAGACGGAAGACUGGCUUCUGCACUGAAUGUAUUUGCUGCAACUUAGCUACAUGAAGAAUGUGUGGAAUACUGUAACUGCAAUAGUUCUUUUUCUUGUUCAAUUGCAUUUCAAAGUUCAUUAAAACAAGGUCCGAAAGAGCAACAAUUGCAUUCAAGUUGCCUUUAAGACAAGAACAGAAUCGCAUUUACAGCAUAUAUAAGACUGUAAUGAGAGAUUUGCAUGUAUUUUAUGAAGACUCAAAGUUGAGAAAUAUUCUACCUAAACAAGUGAUUUUGCUCUCUUUUAUUUUCGAA